CAGCCGCCGCGGUAAUACGUAGGGUGCAAGCGUUAAUCGGAAUUACUGGGCGUAAAGCGUGCGCAGGCGGUUCGGAAAGAAAGAUGUGAAAUCCCAGAGCUUAACUUUGGAACUGCAUUUUUAACUACCGGGCUAGAGUGUGUCAGAGGGAGGUGGAAUUCCGCGUGUAGCAGUGAAAUGCGUAGAUAUGCGGAGGAACACCGAUGGCGAAGGCAGCCUCCUGGGAUAACACUGACGCUCAUGCACGAAAGCGUGGGGAGCAAACAGGAUUAGAUACCCUGGUAGUCCAUGCCCUAAACGAUGUCAACUAGCUGUUGGGGCCUUCGGGCCUUGGUAGCGCAGCUAACGCGUGAAGUUGACCGCCUGGGGAGUACGGUCGCAAGAUUAAAACUUAAAGGAAUUGGCGGG
rnacentral:rRNA from 1 species